CCGGUGUUACCGGUCAAACCGGACCGGUUCCCACCGGUUUUGUAAACCCUCGGUAGGAGACGGCCCUGGCUUCUACGAGUACAAUGUUGUUCCCUACGUGAGCUUCUACACUCAAGCAGCAGCACUGGGAACGGCAUCUGCAGAUGAGGGAUUUUAAAUCAACAAGGAACGGAGCGCUCUCUACUUCGUUUGUCUUCCAGAGGAGUGGUCUGGGCCUCCGGCACCUCCAUCGACACAGAGCACACCCUGCCUGCCAUUCACCCCAACUCCCCAAGACACUGCUCCUCCUCUGUAAUGUAAUGCAGCCGUCUUGGUCUGCUGGCUACAUCGUAGACGCUUCAUUGAUCACAGUAGCUUGCUGAGUCUACUGAGAGUCUGAGACGUUGCAGUGUGAAUCAAUGAGCAUGUAAUUGCCUCAUAAUCUUGUAAAGGCAAACUCUUGCUGAGUCAUGCUCCA